rnacentral:rRNA from 1 species
UACGGGGGGGGCAAGCGUUGUUCGGAAUUACUGGGCGUAAAGGGCUCGUAGGUGGCCAACUAAGUCAGACGUGAAAUCCCCAGGCUCAACUUGGGAACUGCGUCUGAUACUGGAUGGCUUGAAUUCGGGAGAGGGAUGCAGAAUUCCAGGUGUAGCGGUGAAAUGCGUAGAUAUCUGGAGGAACACCGGUGGCGAAGGCGGCAUCCUGGACCAAUAUUGACGCUGAGGAGCGAAAGCCAGGGGAGCAAACGGG